AUUUUUAGUAGCAUAAAUAAUGCAUUGAACUUAAGAUUCAAAAAUGUGGCACCCGCCGCCUAAAAGUA
rnacentral:tRNA from 1 species